AGCAAGGUGAUGGAUUUCUUUAAUCUGAAUAUGGAUGUUGAACUCCACGUCAUUGGACUUCAAAGUUCUUUAAUUUCU